rnacentral:pre_miRNA from 1 species
UAAAGUCUAAUUUGUAUGGAGUAAAGCUUGCCUACGUUUGUCACUAGAGGCGCUGUUCCAACUGUAUUCAAAUUUGAGUUA